rnacentral:rRNA from 1 species
UACGAAGGGUGCAAGCGUUACUCGGAAUUACUGGGCGUAAAGCGUGCGCAGGCGGUUCGUUGUGUCGGCGGUGAAAGCCCCGGGCUCAACCUGGGAAUGGCCGUUGAAACUGGCGAACUGGAGUGUGGCAGAGGGGGGUGGAAUUCCGCGUGUAGCAGUGAAAUGCGUAGAGAUGCGGAGGAACACCGAUGGCGAAGGCAGCCCCCUGGGCUAACACUGACGCUCAGGCACGAAAGCGUGGGGAGCAAACAGG